AUCGAACGCUGGCGGCAGGCCUAACACAUGCAAGUCGAGCGAGCGGCGGACGGGUGAGUAAUGUCUGGUAAACUGUCUGAUGGAGGGGGAUAACUACUGGAAACGGUAGCUAAUACCGUAUACCAUCAGAUGUGCCCAGAUGGGAGUAGCUAGUAGGUGGGGUAACGGCUCACGUAGGCGACGAUCCCUAGCUGGUCUGCGAGGCUGACCAGACACACUGGGACUGAGACACGGUCCAGACUCCUCCGGGAGGCAGCAGUGGGGAAUAUUGCACAAUGGGCGCAAGCCUGAUGCAGCCAUGCCGAGUGUGUGAAGAAGGCCUUAGGGUUGGAAAGCACUAUCAGCGGGGAGGGGUUACCCGCAGAAGAAGCACCGGCUAACUCCGUGCCAGCAGCCGCGGUAAUAC
rnacentral:rRNA from 1 species